UGGGGAAUAUUGCGCAAUGGGCGAAAGCCUGACGCAGCAACACCGCGUGAGGGAUGACGGCCUUCGGGUUGUAAACCUCUUUCAGCUCCGACGAAGCGAAAGUGACGGUAGGAGCAGAAGAAGCACCGGCUAACUACGUGCCAGCAGCCGCGGUAAUACGUAGGGUGCAAGCGUUGUCCGGAAUUAUUGGGCGUAAAGAGCUCGUAGGCGGUCCGUUGCGUCUGCCGUGAAAACCCGGAGCUCAACUCCGGGCCUGCGGUGGAUACGGGCGGACUAGAGUCCGGUAGGGGAGACUGGAAUUCCUGGUGUAGCGGUGGAAUGCGCAGAUAUCAGGAGGAACACCGGUGGCGAAGGCGGGUCUCUGGGCCGGAACUGACGCUGAGGAGCGAAAGCGUGGGGAGCGAACAGGAUUAGAUA
rnacentral:rRNA from 1 species